GGGCACAUGGUGUAGUUGGUUAUCACGCUCGCUUAGCACUAAAGAACGGAUAAGUCUGCGAGAGGUGUUGGGUUCAAUUCCCAAUGUGUCCA
rnacentral:tRNA from 1 species